rnacentral:rRNA from 1 species
GACCUUCGGGAGCUUGCACAGGUGCUGCAUGGCUGUCGUCAGCUCGUGUCGUGAGAUGUUGGGUUAAGUCCCGCAACCGAGCGCAACCCUUGUCAUUAGUUGCUACAUUCAGUUGGGCACUCUAAUGAGACUGCCGGUGACAAACCGGGAGGAAGGUGGGGAUGACGUCAAGUCCUCAUGGCCCUUAUAGGUGGGGCUACACACGUCAUACAAUGGAUGGUACAAAGGGUCGCCAACCCGCGAGGGGGAGCCAAUCCCAUAAAGCCAUUCGUAGUCCGGAUCGGCAGUCUGCAACUCGACUGCGUGAAGUCGGAAUCGCUAGUAAUCGUGGAUCAGAAUGUCACGGUGAAUACGUUCCCGGGUCUU